rnacentral:misc_RNA from 1 species
ACAGCGUCGCACCCCUCCAACAAGGUUUGUUGGGGAGCGGAUAUUGGCCCCCCGGGCCUUGCGGGCACGGUCGGCACAAAUGUUGGUCCCCGACAACGAGCGUCGCGGUCAGUGGUGGUUGUAUUUCUCAUCCUCCAAAGACAUCAAGACGCGUCGUCCUCGUUGCUCGUUGGACGCAUCCACCCUAUGG